rnacentral:lncRNA from 1 species
CCCCCACAGUACUGGAGGGGUAUCUUCAAACCACCAACUUAAUACCCUGAGACAAGGCCGAAUAUAGCCCACGAAGAUCUCCCCAACGGCAGGAACCCGAGGGGGGCGCCAACCCGGACAGGAAGAUCACGUCAGUGACUCAACGCACUCAAGUGAAGCACCCCUCUUAGGGACAGCAUGGAAGAGCACCAGUAAGCCAGUGACUCAGCCCCCGUAACAGGGUUUGAGGCAGAGAAGGUACUGUAACAGGAGUAGUGUAGAGAGCAGAGAAGGUAAUGUAACAGGAGUAGUGUAGGGUUUAGUGAAGGUACUGUAACAGGAGUAGUGUAGGGUGUAGUGAAGGUACUGUAACAGGAGUAGUGUAGGGUGUAGUGAAGGUACUGUAACAGGAGUAGUGUAGGGUGUAGUGAAGGUACUGUAACAGGAGUAGUGUAGGGUGUAGUGAAGGUACUGUAACAGGAGUAGUGUAGGGUGUAGUGAAGGUACUGUGACAGGAGUAGUGUAGGGCGUAGUGAAGGUACUGUAACAGGAGUAGUGUAGGGUGUAGUGAAGGUACUGUAACAGGAGUAGUGUAGGGUGUAGUGAAGGUACUGUAACAGGAGUAGUGUAGGGUGUAGUGAAGGUACUGUAACAGGAGUAGUGUAGGG